rnacentral:misc_RNA from 1 species
GAUCAUUAUUGAAUGAACUUGGUGUGGUUGUUGCUGGCCCUCUCGGGGGCAUGUGCACACCCAUCAUCCUCAUCUCUCCACCUGUGCACCUCUUGUAGACCUGGAUAGACUUUCCGAGGCAACUCGGUCGGGAAGAUUGCUGCUCUCUUGUGGGCCAGCUUUCUUUGCAUGUCCAGGCCUAUGUUUUUCAUAUACCCCUAUAGAAUGUAACAGAAUGUAUCAUUGGGCCUUGUGCCUAUAAACCUUAUACAACUUUCAGCAACGGAUCUCUUGGCUCUCGCAUCGAUGAAGAACGCAGCGAAAUGCGAUAAGUAAUGUGAAUUGCAGAAUUCAGUGAAUCAUCGAAUCUUUGAACGCACCUUGCGCUCCUUGGUAUUCCGAGGAGCAUGCCUGUUUGAGUGUCAUUAAAUUCUCAACCUUAUUAACUUUUGUUGAUAAUGGAUUGGA